UACAGAGGUGGCAAGCGUUGUUCGGAAUUACUGGGCGUAAAGGGCGCGUAGGCGGCUUGGUCAGUCCCGUGUGAAAUCCCUCGGCUCAACUGAGGAACUGCACGGGAAACUGCCUGGCUUGAGUUCGGGAGAGGGAAGCGGAAUUCCGGGUGUAGCGGUGAAAUGCGUAGAUAUCGGAAGGAACAUCAGUGGCGAAGGCGACUUCCUGGACCAAUACUGACGCUCAGGUGCGAAAGCGUGGGGAGCAAACAGG
rnacentral:rRNA from 1 species